UGAUGCCUGAAUAUUUAUAAAAAGAGUAAAUUCUAAUUGGGGUUAGUCAUGGAUAAGAGGAAAGAGUAGUCAUAUGUUGUUUUGUUAAAGGAGGAUAGCUCUCAUUCUGCCUUGAGCGGGUCAAGUUUUAUUGAGGAAGUGUUACAGUUUAUGUGGAAAAGAGUAACUGCUCCAACUUUGAAAUUAACUUUCUUGUUUUGAGCCAGAAACAAUAUUGUUGCCUGAUGUUUAUUCUGUGAUUACUGUUACUUUCUGUACUUAAGAUUGACUUAAGGCCAUGACAGCAAAAUGAUCCCAAUUAAUUUUAUUGGAGUUUUGUUCUUUAUGCAUAUACUGAAGUGUCAUCUUCUUGCUAGAUAACAUUAACCAGACUCUUCCCAACAAUUCAAUUUAAAUUAUGCAGGAUGAGAUUAACUGCUGAAGCUGGAGAAGGGGAAUAUCUUCAGAGAUGUGCACACCACGCCUGGUAAUAGCUAGGCAUGGCCCUCCACCUCCUGGGGGACUUAUGACGGCUGAACAGUAUGAUAACUUCCCCAACUUUAUGAAGGAGUCUGUGACUUCAGCACUUGUUCCCUCCUGUUUUGUCAUUACAACUUGUGAAUUUACAUUCCAUAUGUUACUGAAAGAUGACAUGAAAUGAAACCAGUCAGUACUUCACUGAGCAACAUCUUGUGGUAUUUCUGCUAUUACUAGAGGGGAAUAUCAUUCCUCCUGGUUUCAUCAAAAUUAGGAAGUUUGAUGGUACAGCAAGGAGAUCUCCAGACUGGAGAUGUGUGGGAUUCAGCAGAGUGAUGUGUUUCUUUGUUAGAAAAGAGCUGGGGAGAGGAAGGUUUAGAUAGGGAAGCAGAGUGAAAAAAGUAGCUGAAAAGAAAUGGUUUGGAAAAUGAAGAUCGAGUUCAAAACCCCUUCAUGUACAUAGACAUGGCUGGAUAAAAAUGUCCGUGAGCUCAGAACUGCCUAGUCCCACAACUCCCACUGAAAUGAGUAAGAUCUGCAUCCAGUCACCUAAGAGUGAACCUCUUACCAAAGACACCCACAGCUGAAAAUGUUGGAGUUUUGUUUUCAGAAAGUGUUGUUUUACAUCCCAUAUUUAGUCUGCAUCUUCAUGGGUCUAAACUUAGAAAUAUUUUGGUCCAGCUGCUGAGCUAGAGGGAGCUACCGAAAAAUAAAGCUACAAACCUUUUAAAUAGAGUUCUGCUAUUGUUUCAAACACUUACACCAUUGAUUAUACUUCUAGUUUUCCAGAAAAAUCACAUUUUGCCCUCUGAAUGAUUGUUUUAAUUUGCUUCUGACACGCAGUCAGUUUUCAUAACCCAACAAUUUGUUUCUCACCAUUUCUUACUGUGUAAGGGAGAAUCUGUGUACCAUUUUAUACUCACAUUGCUGUGUGCAUUGUUGUUAAUACAUUCCUUCAGACUGUCUUUAAAAGCACCUUGAAACAGAGCUACAGCUUUAAUUAUGUAAGGCUUUUGUUGGUUUUGUUGAGGAAAGGAAGACCAGCUAACAAAGAAAAACAGGAUACCCUUUGUUGGAAGGACAAACUCUGUCCUGAAACAACUCCUGGGAUUGUGGAUUUCCCACUGAGUGACAGAGGUUUUCAGCAGUCUCCAAACUUUGGUGCCUGAAUCCUUUGGUGCUCAUGAGGCAGCCUUGAAGCACUUGGAAUACCCUACUGACACAACGCAACUGGCGCUCCUCCAGACCCAGUGAGUGAAAUAAGCACAGGCUCACAGAACAGCUGAGGUUGGAAGGGAUAUCUGUACGUCAUCUAGUCCGACCCCCAGCUCAAGAAGGUCCACCCUAGACCACAUUACCCAGGACCAUAUCCAGCUGGCUUUUUAAUAUCUUCAAGGAUGGAGACUCCACAACCUUGCUGGGCAACCUGUGCCAGUGCUUGGUCAUCCUCACAGUGAAAAAGUGUUUCCUGAUGUUCAGAGGGAACCCCCUCCCGUUUCAGUUUAUGCCCAUUACCUCUGGUCCUGGCACUGGCACCACUGAAAAGAGCCUGGCUCCGUCCUCAUUCUGUCCUCCACCUUUACAUCAAUCCAUGCCAAAAGACUGAGUUGCUGUAUUAAUCACCUUAACAAACUUCCAGGCUUGAUUAGUGGGGUUGUGUGAUGCAGGGAGCAGGAAGAAAUAUUUCAAUAGGCUUUUGAUGAGUUGAUGUAUAAAGAAGCAAAUGAAUUAUGUAAUUUUUACGCAUUUUUCACUGGAAUCCAUAGUUACUUGGGGUGUAAGAACAAGAACAAAGAACUUUGAUACCACAAUCCUCUGUGCCAAUUAAUGUUUGUGGUUUAUAUCAGGCAGCCAUUUGAUGAAAUAAAUAAUAGCUGAUGCAGAAA